rnacentral:rRNA from 1 species
UACGGGGGGGGCAAGCGUUGUUCGGAAUUACUGGGCGUAAAGCGCGUGUAGGCGGCCUAGUGUGUCGGGCGUGAAAUCCCACGGCUCAACCGUGGAAGUGCACUCGAAACUGCAAGGCUGGAGUACUGGAGAGGAUGGUAGAAUGCUCGGUGUAGAGGUGAAAUUCGUAGAUAUCGAGCGGAAUACCGGUGGCGAAGGCGGCCAUCUGGACAGUCACUGACGCUGAGACGCGAAAGCGUGGGGAGCAAACAGG